CCUAAGAUUUCUCUCUGUCCUUUUCUCUGAAUUUCACUUUCACUCGACUUUCCGAUGCAAUUCACUUCGUUGUUCUUCUGAUCGAUCAAUUCGGAGGAUUUCAAUCGAGCUAAUUGGUUAACGAAGCAGGUUUUGUUUCAGAGACUGCGUUUUGUUUUCUGUUUUGAAAGUGAAUUUUGCGUACUGAUUACGGACUUCAAUUGUUCAGGUUCUGUUAUGUACAAGCUUCACCACUCUGGAUGAUUUUUUUUUUUUAUUGUGUGAAAUUGUUGAUUCUCUCAUAUUAUGUUGUAGAUUGAUGGUUUUGACAAAAUGAAGUGAUUGAUGAGUCUAUUUUUCGGAGAACUUCUUGUUUGCUACCACGAAUUUCCUUCAAGCCUUUCAAACAUAUGAUAUCUAACCUGUUCUUCCUUAUAUGGAUCUUGCUCUGGUCGUUCUCCGAUUUCUGGAAUAGUUGUGCUUGUUAUGAUUCCUGGUGAUAUUUUUGUUCAUAAUCGAGCCAUUGAAUUUCUCCGCUUACUGAUUUCGGAAAACCAAAAUCUCAGGAAAAUGAGGAGAGAUUUUGGUUUGGAUUUUCUAAUUAGGGCGUACUGUUGAUUCUGUAGCUCAUAUUCAUACAUGAUUUUAUUCUCAUGCAUCCUCCGAAUCAAAUUCUUCUAAGCAGAUGGACCUGCACUCAUUUUAUCAUGAAAAUGACAAGGAUGCUGAUCGAUGGAACAGCGGUAAGAAGAUGGGAAAAUCACGCCGACGGGAACACCCUCAGGAGGAGGAAUUACAAAAGUUCCAGAAGGAAUCUGAAGCAUGGCAAGCUGCAAGGUUUAGGGACUGUCUCUUGCUCAGGAAAACCUUGUCAAGAAGAAGAUGGCACUAAAUGCAAACUCAUUUCUGGUUUGCAUUUAGUGCCAACUGUUGUGAUGAACUCUGGGGAGCGCUACGAACUGUAACUAUAAACUUAGAAGACAGCUGAAUGAACUUGAUUCGGGUGAUAUUGAGGACAAAGUGGAACAGCAGCCUUUUGAGUCUGAAGUCA